AUGCCUGCAAUGCGGAGGGGCAUUCCUAGCGUGUGGGGUUUAGAGGGGUGUGGGUUAAUGGUUCAUGUUUCCCUCCGUGCUUGGAAUCGAGCCCUUGUGCCAACUCGGACAAAAGCUGCCCUGUGUUCACUGCUCCUUCAGCCUGAACGGGCAAACCCAGGGGCGAGCCCACACGUCCCCCUUGGUGCUGGUCCUUGGGCCAGCUGCAAACAAGCCUCUCCUUUUACCUUCAUUCAGCAUUACCAAUUCAAAUGGAUUUUAAAGGAAUAUUCAGCUGGUGGGGCCGGGACCAGUGGGGAGCCCUCGGCCCUGCUGCCCCUUUCCGGCCGUUGCGCUCUGCAGCGGGACUCCAGACCACGAGCCUCGUGCGCUCGCGGUUUGUGGGUUUUGGCCCCUCUGUGGUUUAGCUUUCACUUCCCCCUCCAUGCUGAAGUGACAGGGAGAGCCGCGAGGCGUCGAGCGGCUGUUGGGGCGCGCGGAGCCUCCUGCCCUCACCUCACUCCCGGGUCUGCAGCGGGACCGGGUCGGCCACAGCUGGCGCAGGCAGCUCAGGAAGAGCCGCAGGCAGUGACACGGCACCCAGCAGCCCUCCUACCCCUGGAGCUGGGGACUGCUGGGGGUGCAGGGAGCUGGGGAGGGGCUGGGGGCUGCAGCAUCCCAGUGAGCCCCCUCCUGCCCUUCCUGGAGCCACAGCUCUGCCAGGAGCUGUUCAACUACACCCUGGAGCUGCUGCUGUGGAGGGGAGAUGUCGUCCGGGUCCCCUGCAAGCCUGAGCCAGCGAGGGACCGGCCUGGCCACCAGCAGGAGCACACGGCGAGGAUGGAGCCGGCCAAGCCGCCCCCCAGCAAGAGGAUGGCUCCCGCGCCCCCCGUCCCUGCCAAAACCAAGCCGGCCCUGGGGCUGCCGAGCAAGCCCAGCAGCCCCCAGCCCGGCACCUCGGCCGAAAUGGAGCGGGGCAGAGCCGGAGACCCAGACACCGAUGGCUUCAGUGCCCUGCAGGUGACCACGGCCAAGCUGAGCCACCCCACGGCCACGCGCCCCCGGGUGCCGGGCCGGCGGCUGCCCAGUAUGGCCGGGGUGGGCUUGGGGCCGCCCUGCGCCGAGCUCUGCCCCCAUCUCCCCGCCGCGGGGCAGGGCCCGGAGCAGCGGCUGGCCCUGGAGGACCUGAAGGCCGAGGUCCGGUCCCUGCACAUCCUCGUGGACCUGAUGCGAGGCCAGCACCUGAGGGACCUGGAGGACGUGAGGCUGGAGCUGCAGCACGAGCGGACCAAGCGCGAGGCGCUGCAGGCGGAGAUUGAGCGGGUGAGGAAGGCGCUGCCCUGCUAGCGGGGGGGGCUGCGGGGGGUGCGCAGGGACCCCCAAAGCAUCCCCAGCCCCAGGAGCACCCCCAGCCCUGGCCUGGGGCUGUGCCGAUCCGGACACGAGGGACCCCUGCACCUGGGCACCGCCUGCUGCGCCUCUGAGGCCAUGAAGCAGACCCUGCUUUGUCACAAAUACUGGUUAAAAUAAACUAUUUUGGGUACGGAGUGCUGCUGGGGUC
rnacentral:lncRNA from 1 species